rnacentral:lncRNA from 1 species
UCUCUCUUGCACAUGAGAAAGAUCUCUUCUUCUUCUUCUUCUUCUUCGUUGGGUACAAAUCCUUGUUCUAAUUUGUAUCUAUUUCUCAUCGGUUUCAACAACGUAAUCUGGCCUGAUUGGAUUCGAAAAUCAACCAAAAAACCUCUCAAAUCUCUUCGUUAGGUAAAACUAGAACCCUUCUUCUAAAUUGUGUUGAUUUCUCCUGAAUUAUCCAAUUUCAAAUACGUAAUCUGAUCUGAUCCGCUUCAAAUUUUGAAGCGAGAGAUCAAACCUCCCGAAUUUAGGGUUUCGUCGAUUGAUAUGUUUACGAAUUGUGUUUCUCUGUAACUUGAUUCGAUUUCGUUUACUGUUACUUUACACAUCCCAAUCGGUAUAUAAAUCGUCCUGCUUUUAGGUCGAUCAAUUGUGUUAUUUUGUCUAUAUGAUAGUUUUGAGAUUUGGUUUUGGCAGGAACAUGAUCGGGAAAGAGCUUGAUGGCCGUAGCUUCACCAUCAUCGAAGAUAAACUCUGUUUUUGGUUCAGAUGUGUUAUGCAUCACUUUGUCUCUUGCUCUUGUUCUUAUGGUUUACUUUUUUUUUUUUUUUUUUUUUAAUGUAUAAAUCCUUUCAAGUCUUCGUUGCUUGAAGAAAAGAGACAUGUAUCCAUCCGCAAUAAAUUGAUUUUGAAUGUUACUUUGCUCCACCAGUUCAAUAUGAUUUUAAGAUUAUUUGUCUACAUUCAUAUAUAAAUUCUUGUGUCUACCAUAAUUUUUUGUAAGUGUCAUAGGUACCCAAACUAACUUUAAUCUGCCUAUUGAUGUGCAAGCAGGGAUAAUCAUCUAAAGGAAAGUUACAUGCUGAAUGAAGUUGACAUAUUGAGGAG